AGUGAACGCUGGCGGUAGGCCUAACACAUGCAAGUCGAACGGCAGCACAGUAAUAGCUUGCUCUUACGGGUGGCGAGUGGCGGACGGGUGAGGAAUACAUCGGAAUCUACUUUUUCGUGGGGGAUAACGUAGGGAAACUUACGCUAAUACCGCAUACGACCUACGGGUGAAAGCAGGGGAUCUUCGGACCUUGCGCGAUUGAAUGAGCCGAUGUCGGAUUAGCUAGUUGGCGGGGUAAAGGCCCACCAAGGCGACGAUCCGUAGCUGGUCUGAGAGGAUGAUCAGCCACACUGGAACUGAGACACGGUCCAGACUCCUACGGGAGGCAGCAGUGGGGAAUAUUGGACAAUGGGCGCAAGCCUGAUCCAGCCAUACCGCGUGGGUGAAGAAGGCCUUCGGGUUGUAAAGCCCUUUUGUUGGGAAAGAAAAGCAGCAGGUUAAUACCCCGCUGUUCUGACGGUACCAAAAGAAUAAGCACCGGCUAACUUCGUG
rnacentral:rRNA from 1 species